AGAUUGAACGCUGGCGGCAGGCCUAACACAUGCAAGUCGAGCGGUAGAGAGGUGCUUGCAUCUCUUGAGAGCGGCGGACGGGUGAGUAAUGCCUAGGAAUCUGCCUAGUGGUGGGGGAUAACGUUCGGAAACGGACGCUAAUACCGCAUACGUCCUACGGGAGAAAGCGGGGGACCUUCGGGCCUCGCGCCAUUAGAUGAGCCUAGGUCGGAUUAGCUAGUUGGUGAGGUAAUGGCUCACCAAGGCGACGAUCCGUAACUGGUCUGAGAGGAUGAUCAGUCACACUGGAACUGAGACACGGUCCAGACUCCUACGGGAGCAGCAGUGGGAAUAUUGGACAAUGGGCGAAAGCCUGAUCCAGCCAUGCCGCGUGUGUGAAGAAGGUCUUCGGAUUGUAAAGCACUUUAAGUGGAGGAAGGUUGUAAACCUAAUACCGUGCAAUUUGACGUUACCGACUAGAAUAAGACACCGGUCUAAACUUCCGUGCCCAGCCAGCCGUA
rnacentral:rRNA from 1 species